AAAACUCCCUUUCCUUUUUUCUUUAUUUUUUUUUUCUGUGUGAAAGGAAGCUGAACAUUUGGAACACAAAUUCACUGUCUUGGGUAAAAAUAUUAUUGGAUUUUGUUGUCCAAGGAGAUCUCAUGCAUGCGACCCAAAAUGGUCCUUCACUUACAUGUCUGCCACAUUAACACCCACCCGGUGGCAUCAGUUGGACCACCAUGUACGACCAGGGAGACCACUACUGCCUCGUUUGGGCCCUUUCCUCCCUGAAACACGUACUGUAAAUCUGUAAAAUUUGAUUUUAAUCUCAUACAGAAAAAAUACAUAUACAUAUAUAUAUAUACACACCUACAUAUAACUAAUAUUGUAAUUGUAAGAUUAAUCAACUUAUAAACUAAAUUUCUAAUAGAAAUGAAUUAUAAUAUCAGAGUUUCAAGCAUAAUAUAUAUGUGCUAUAAUAUAUAUGUACUAACUUAGAGAGUAGUCAAAUUAAGAUUUAUAAGAAGAAAGAAAAAAGAAAUUCAGAUUCAGUAGGAUUUUAAGAAUUAUAAGGUAGUCAAUCAAGAUUUUAAUUUUUUUUUAAAAUUAAUGUAAAUUUAUAUGUAAACUGAAAUUUUAAUAGUUAUUUAGCAAGUAUACAUGCAAAUCUAGAUAUAUUUCAGAAGCUUACAAAUUUUAUGGAAUUUCGUUUGAGUUGUGAAUUUUGAUAGAUUUAAGGAUAAACAGUAUACGUACCAAAGACACUAAACAAUUUCACCCUUUCCCAAAGAUUUUAUUGGAUUCCUCUGCAAUGAAUUCAUGAACUCUGUUGUUCACACCUGUGUCCUUCAUAACUUUCCUUUACGAUCCAGAAUCAUUCGACCUACCUAAUUAAAGCACCAUAUGUGUAAGACAUGACUGCAUUCUACUGUUAUGGGGCUCCCUAUAAUUAUCUGCAACCCCAUUUUUUUUUAUCAAACGUAUUUUAAUCACACUCAUCAGGGACCAAAUUUUCAUUUGUCUGCUGUCAACAAAAUAAAUUGAUAUCCCAUUUUUUUUUUCUUCUCAUUUACGGGAGAGAAAGAGAGAUGGAGAGGUGGAUUCUGGGUAGGUGAUGGUGUGACAAGGGCAUAGGAGGGAGGGGAUAUGGUGGUUAUUGGGUAGGGAGGAUGGGGAAGGGACACAGUUUUUCUUUUAUGUUUUAUUAUUUCCAAAAUCAAAUUAUUGAGAUAAAUGACUAGAAAAUCUUCCAAAAUCCAUCAAAAUUUAUGAAUAAAAUUCUCUAAAAAUUCAUCAAGUUCCACAAACGAAAUCCAUCACAAUCCUCAAAAGUGCAUUUGAAUUCUACAAAUCCUAUAAAAUCUACCACUUAGAAAGUCUUUUGAAAUCCUUCUAAAUGCUAAUUUGUUUACCUUUCAUAUGAACCUUGCAACAUCUCUCAAGUUUUUUUAUUCAGUUGUUGUUUAAAUCUUGUAUCAUCUCUCUAGUUCUCAUAGAAAAUAAAGAGAUCGAAUAAAGAUAAAAUACACCAAACAUGCCCAAAAUUUAUUAGUUUUUCGAUCCACUUAAAAUAGAGAAAUAAAUAACAUCAAGAACUAAAACAAAAAUGUUUUUUUAUUUUUUUAUUUUUUAUGAUCAUAAACACAAUAUACCAACAUAGAAUGUAUGAGAAAAGAGCGCCUUCAAAUCGCUUCUAAAGAUGAUCACGAUCUCAAAGAAAAUUGCCUAUCAGUCCCUAUAUUCGCUAGCAGCCUAGCAAAGAUAAAGGUUAGAUAAUUUUCCAGAAAAUAAAAAUUAAUGGAAGACGAGAUUUUUGCCCAUUUUUUUUUAAUACAGUAGAUAUACAUGACGGUGCCUUUUUUUAACACCAUUUUAGUUUUUUGAUCUCAUGCAUAUAUCUUUUAGAGAUCUUACUUCUUGACUUCACAUAUAGUACAUUUUCCACAACAGGUUAUAUAAAUAUUCUUUGUAUCUACAAAACUCAUCACGUGAUAAGUGUUGUAGAAAGGUGACACAACAUAUUUCUCUAUAUAACAACAGAUAUAUAUAUAUAUAUAUAUAUAUAUAUACAGAGAGCUUAAGGGGAGGGAUCCCCAUUUUUUCAAAAAAAAUGGGGACACGCUCCCCACCGUUAGAUUGACUUUAAUGAAAUUGUGUGGUUGAGAUUAAAACACAGGCCACAUAAUCUCAACCACAUGAUUUCAUUAAAGUCAAAUCCAACGGUAGGGAGCGUAUCCUCAUUUUUUUGAAAAAAUGGGGAUCCCUCCCCUUAAGCAAUUCCUAUAUAUAUAUAUAUAUAUAUAUAUAUAUAUAUAACUUAAUUGUUUAGAGCAUCUACAGACACACAUUUGAGAGUUUAUUUUAUUUUAUUUUUUAUUUUACCCAAGCAUCUAUAAAUAUAACUUAAUUGUUUUAGAAUGACUAAAACCCUUGUAGUGAAAGGGCUUUUGGGUUCUAAAAGCACUUGAAGUACAUAUUAGAUGGUGCUUCUUGCAUGAAGCAUUUUAAGUGAUUUUUCAAGAUUUACUUGCAUUUUUACUAAAAACUGGUAACUAUAAGUACUUUCAUUAAACGCGUUAACCGUUAUUUAAAAAGACUUCCAAACACACUUCUAGUCAAGCAGAGAAUAAAGCACGUAUAUGGGAUAUAGUACAUGCAUGAUUCAUAGCUGAAGUAUAAAUAAGAAGUAUAGAGGUCAGGAGACACACUCAAAGGACAAUUAGAAUGAUAUAGAACACAAUAGUAAGCUAUAAGAGCAUCCUCAAUGGGGGCUUUAUUCUCCUUGAGGCUACCACAUUUGUAGCUUUAAUGAAAAAUUUCAUCCCUAAUUGGCCGGAAAAUGGUGCUAUAUCCACCACAAAGGCUAGCAACUUCAAUCAUUGGGUAGUAAGAAGUUAGGCUACAUCUAGCCCCAAAAAGUAGGGGGACCACACCAAAUUGAGGGCCCAGUCUUUGUUUUCGUUUAGUUUAGAAAUGGGUGAGCCCCAUUUUUAAUUCCAAAAAAUGAUUUUAAGGGUUUAUUUUUCAACCGUUUAGGAUUUUAAGAGUUUAUUUUCAACUGUUUGUUGUUUAAGUAAGAAAACAUAUACAAACAACUAUUAUUUUUUGUGUUAUUGAUUAGAAAAAAAUGUUGUGCUUCGUGUUUAAUUUUCUAGAAUGAAAAAUCCAAAAAAAAAAUUGAUGAAAUUUAACAUUGGUAGUUUAGAGACCUAAACCGAAAAUAUAAACAAAUAACAUGACUAAAUUGUGAUAAGAUAAUCCAAUCCAAUUAUUGUUAUGAAAUGAAAAUCUUGUUUGAUUUCGGAGAAUGUGUCAUAUCAGAGAAAUAAACCAAUGGUUAUGAAAUGAAAUCUUAUCUUGUUUGAUCUCAUAGAAACAAACCAACAGAUGAGAUUGAAAUAAGAUAAUCAAAACCAAUGAUUGUUAUGAAACGAAAUCUUAUUUUGUCUGAUUUCAUAGAAACAAGCCAACGGAUGAGAUUGAGAUAAGAGAACCUACAACGAUGCAUAACUGAUGAAAUCUAACUUUAUCAGAAUUUGAAUAUUUUUAGAUUAAAAAGUUCAUAAAUUAAAAUUUAAGAUAACAUGUCCAAAAAUCAAGUUUAGAGAAGUUAAGACAAUAAUAAAUUUACCGCAUAAUCAAAUCACUACAUAAUAAAAUAUAUAGCCCUAUAUAGAGCCCGAAAUAUAUAUAGCCCCUUAUUGGGAUAGAUUCUUUUUUAGAGCCCUUAAGAUUCCUCGGAGCUCUAAAUUAGGCUAUAUCCACAACUUUUCUAGCCUCAUAUAGAGUUGAGGAUGCUCUAAAGAUCCCAAUAUAAAGGGUAAGAAGUUUGAAAUGAAAUCAUGACCACACAGGAUAAACCAUAAACUAUCAACUAUAUAUAGAAGACGAUGCUAAAGUACAUCAGCUCCAUGCAUUUUUUAAAAAUAAAUAAAUUGUGUAAUGGACAAUUAAAAUCACAAAUAAAAGAAAGAGCAGUGACCGGAGUUGUGUCAACAAUUGGAAUGCGUGUAAUGGACAAUUAAAAUCACUAAUAAAAGAAAGAGCAGUGACCGGAGUUGUGUCAAUAAUUGGAAUGCGUAUGAUUAUUAAUUAAUUAUGACUCAUUAUCUUAAGCAGAAAUUAAUACCAACGCUAGAUUCAAGUCUUAAUUAAACAUCGAAAGUAAUGAUAAUAUAGGUUCAUGAGCAGAAUAAGUGAAUGAAGGAGGGGUUAAUAUAUAUGUAAUUGUAAGAAAGAAAGUGUUGAAAUCUAUGUAAAGUAUGCGUUUUGUACGAAAUGGAAGAAAGAGAGAAAAUAGUUGAAAGAAAAUGCAUUAAAAUUCUAGACUUGCUAUAUAUGCAAGUUCUCUAAAUAAGCCAGAGUGAUCAGGUGGUCAUAGUUCAUACUUUAUUAUCUAAUUUAAGUAUAUUUCCAUUCCGAAAUUUUACGAUUUGGCAUUAAGGGAAGAUCAACUCCUACCUUAACAGUGAGAAUUGGAAAUCAGUGGUCCUAGCAUUGUAGUUCACUAUGUUAUAACUGGAAAUCUUGAGUUUGGACCUCUCUAAUUUAUUCAAUGCAUGUUUGGAGAUCGAUAUAUAUAACAUGUAUGCAUGAUUAACCAGAAAAUGAUGUACCUGAUGACAGAGGUGGUUCAUAAGGUUUUCCUCAUUAUCAAAACAUAAAAAAUAUAAAAUUCAUAGAUAUAGGUACGGAAGAUAUUUGCAUAUGACUGAAGAUAUAUCUAUAUCUUCAUGUUACGAUGGUACUUAUUACGUAGCCUAAUUGAGACCCAAUAAGAUGUGAAAGUAUCAUGGAUAGUGAUAGAGGCACACAGAUCUCUAUGAUCUUGAAAUGACUGAAGCAUCGGAUGUUACUAUUACUGAAGAAGUGAGAAAAUAGUUGGAGUACUGAAUAUUAUGUCCUUGAGAGGAGUGAUGAAUGAGAGGGGAGUGAGGUUACAUCUCAAGGGUCCCAAGUUGGAAGACGAGUCACUCUUUGGUUGGUCCUCAAACAAUUGUAUAGGCAUAGACAAAAAUGGCAGUGAGAAUGUGUGACCAUUUCCGACCAAGAUUUUGCAUAUCGAAGUUCCCAAACCGAUUCUAAUUUUCAAUGAUCUACUGAUUUCACAGCUAGAGAUCGAACCACUUGAAAUAUUUUUCUAAAAACAAUUAAUUCUUUGAAUCAAAUAGCGUCAACCCACCACCCAAAACAAGUGAGGAAAAAAAUCAUACACAGAGACGAUCUAAAACAUCUUUCACACAUUUCUAUUUUUGAGCAAUAGAAAGAUAGGAAAAAACCAAGCUUGUUAUUUGUUCACGAUUCAAAAGUAAUAAAUUUUAAAAUGAUGAUACAAUUUGAAGAUUUCCAUUGUAUUCAGAACUUUUAAAAUUUUAUUUGGUAACAACUUUGAGUACUGUUUUCAUGUUUGAUAACAGGCAUCUUUACAUUGAAGAGACCUUAACUCGACUUUGAAAUCUAACAAUAUUAAUUGCUUUUGUAUUUUCAAAGGGGGAGAGAUUUAUAUACUACUCUUUUCACAUGUUGCACUCCCCUAUAUUUUUCUAACCACUGAAUUAAAUAAAUCAAAGAAGAAUUAAGAGACAAAAUUAAGCAACAAAGUGUAAAAUUAAGAAAAAUCAGGAUCAAAACAAAGUGUGGAAAUCACUUCCCUUUCAAAAUAAUGAAUCGCGAGUUCUAGUGAUGGACUCUUUUUUUGCAAUUUUAAGAUUGUUGUUUUUUAGCAACCAUUCUACCAAACAACAACUUUGUUAUUGGAAUGUAUUCCCUAUUUUUGGAAACCAUUAGAAAUCAGCUUUUGGAUUCUAUUCCGAACGGCCAAAUAUUCGGACAGUCCAUGGGUGGAUCUGAAAACCAACUAACAAAAUAGGAAAAAUAAAAAUAAAUAAAUGGUUUGAAAAUAUUUACCUUUUCAAAAUGCUUUAAAGGCUUUGCAGCAUCGUCAAGGCUGAUCAACACUCUCCUUUCAAAUCCCAGUACCAUAGACAAAGUCCCAUCUCUCUCUGCAUAAACAGACUUGCUCAGGUAACCCUUGUACCCGAAUCAAGCUUUUAUCAGAAGAAUAAUCACAGAUCUAAAAAUUUAAGCAGAGCCAAGUUAAUGAGGCCAUAAUAAGACCUACAAAUACUACUGAUGAUAUAUAAAUAUGAGCACCAUUAACAAAAAUAAAGAAAUUCCUAAAACUAGAGAAGCAAAAUAAAUUUUUUAGAAAACCCUUACCUGAAACAGUAGACAGAAAGCAUACCAAAUCAUUGAAGUGAGAAAAGUGAAACUGACUGUGGAGUUCUCCUCUCUUUUGUAUA
rnacentral:lncRNA from 1 species